rnacentral:rRNA from 1 species
UGGCUCAGGACGAACGCUGGCGGCGUGCCUAAUACAUGCAAGUCGAACGGUCUUUCUAUGGAAGCUCGCUUCCACUGAGAAGAUAGUGGCGGACGGGUGAGUAACACGUGGGUAACCUGCCCAUAAGAGGGGGAUAACAUCCGGAAACGGGUGCUAAUACCGCAUAGUUUUCUUGAUCGCAUGAUUGAGAAAGGAAAGACGGCCUUUGUGCUGUCGCUUAUGGAUGGACCCGCGGCGUAUUAGUUAGUUGGUGAGGUAACGGCUCACCAAGACGAUGAUACGUAGCCGACCUGAGAGGGUGAUCGGCCACAUUGGGACUGAGACACGGCCCAAACUCCUACGGGAGGCAGCAGUAGGGAAUCUUCCGCAAUGGACGAAAGUCUGACGGAGCAACGCCGCGUGAGUGAAAGAAGGUUUUCGGAUCGUAAAACUCUGUUGUCAGAGAAGAACAAGUCGGAGAGUAACUGCUCCGGCCUUGACGGUAUCUGACCAGAAAGCCACGGCUAACUACGUGCCAGCCGCCGC